AUUGUGUGGCCUGAAUUUGCGGGACUUCCCGGUCAUCGUCAUCCUCCGCUCCCCGCGCUCAGCCUGGCCCGAGCUCGGCUUCCCCAGCCCCUGUCCACCGCCCACCUGCUGAGGAGCAGCAGAGUGCUGUGUCACUCAGGAGUUGGGGACCCCUGACCCAGCCCAACCGCCCUCGUGCGCUGUGCAGAAAGGUA
rnacentral:lncRNA from 1 species